GACGAACGCUGGCGGCGUGCUUAACACAUGCCAGUCGAACGGAAAGGCCCUGCUUUUGUAGGGUGCUCGAGUGGCGAACGGGUGAGUAACACGUGAGUAACCUGCCCUUGACUUUGGGAUAACUUCAGGAAACUGGGGCUAAUACCGGAUAGGAGCUCCUGCUGCAUGGUGGGGGUUGGAAAGUUUCGGCGGUUGGGGAUGGACUCGCGGCUUAUCAGCUUGUUGGUGGGGUAGUGGCUUACCAAGGCUUUGACGGGUAGCCGGCCUGAGAGGGUGACCGGCCACAUUGGGACUGAGAUACGGCCCACACUCCUACGGGAGGCAGCAGUGGGGAAUAUUGCACAAUGGGCGGAAGCCUGAUGCAGCAACGCCGCGUGCGGGAUGACGGCCUUCGGGUUGUAAACCGCUUUCGCCUGUGACGAAGCGUGAGUGACGGUAAUGGGUAAAGAAGCACCGGCUAACUACGUG
rnacentral:rRNA from 1 species